rnacentral:lncRNA from 1 species
GGAAAUCUUCUUUUUACAUAGUAUUAAAGUUGGGAGUUUUGAGGGAACUAAACAUGGCCUAAGGACUUGUUUAGUUUCUAAUUUGGGAGUACCAAAGUUGGGAUUUUGCCAUAAAUGCGCAACUAUAGCAUUUCAUUUGUAUUCGUGAAUUAUUGUCCAAACAUUGACUAAUUAGACUCAAAAGAUUCGUCUCGCAAAGUACAACAAAACUGUGCAAUUAGUUUUUUAUUUCAUCUACAUUUAGUACUCCAUGCAUGUACGCAAGUUUGAUAUGAUGGGGAAUUUUCUUUAUGCAUAGUGUCAAAGUUAG